GGUCGCUUAACUCAGUUGGUUAGAGUGUGGAGCUAAUAUGCGAAAUAUCGCUGAGGAUACUCCAAAGUCGCAGGUUCGAGCCCUGCAGUGACCA
rnacentral:tRNA from 1 species